CAACCUGGUUGAUCCUGCCAGUUUGUCAUAUGCUUGUUUCAAGGACUAAGCCAUGCAAGUGUGAGAGUACUCGGGGCUUGCCUCGAGAGGUCUGUGUACGGCUCAUUAAACGGUUUAUUGUCUACCCAACGAAGGAUGUGCAUUUGCCACCCAACGGGAUAACUUUGCUAACUGCAAAGCUAAUACCUGUAAG
rnacentral:rRNA from 1 species